GAUGAACGCUGGCGGCGUGCCUAAUACAUGCAAGUCGAGCGAACAGACGAGGAGCUUGCUCCUCUGACGUUAGCGGCGGACGGGUGAGUAACACGUGGAUAACCUACCUAUAAGACUGGGAUAACUUCGGGAAACCGGAGCUAAUACCGGAUAAUAUAUUGAACCGCAUGGUUCAAUAGUGAAAGAUGGUUUUGCUGUCACUUAUAGAUGGAUCCGCGCCGCAUUAGCUAGUUGGUAAGGUAACAGCUUACCAAGGCAACGAUGCGUAGCCGACCUGAGAGGGUGAUCGGCCACACUGGAACUGAGACACGGUCCAGACUCCUACGGGAGGCAGCAGUAGGGAAUCUUCCGCAAUGGGCGAAAGCUUGACGGAGCAACGCCGCGUGAGUGAUGAAGGUCUUCGGAUCGUAAAACUCUGUUAUUAGGGAAGAACAAAUGUGUAAGUAACUAUGCACGUCUUGACGGUACCUAAUCAGAAAGCCACGGCUAACUACGUG
rnacentral:rRNA from 1 species